rnacentral:sRNA from 1 species
UGUUUACCCGAUAAGGAAGGUCAGCAUUCAAAGUCAAGAAGCGCCUCUUAUCGUCCCCUGCGCUCUACAAAUAGUUCCGUGAGAAAGAUGGCCGGGAACUCGAUCCUGCUGGCUGCUGUCUCUAUCCUCUCGGCCUGUCAGCAAAACAAAACUGUGUGGAGUUUUAUCCUAUAUUCAUAAUUACAUUGUGGAUGGCUGGGUGGUAUUUCAACCAAGUUUUUGCUACUUGUCUGGGUCUGGUGUACAUAUAUGGCCGUCACCUAUACUUCUGGGGAUAUUCAGAAGCUGCUAAAAAACGGAUCACUGGUUUCCGAUUGAGUCUGGGGAUUUUGGCCUUGUUGACCCUCCUAGGUGCCCUGGGAAUUGCAAACAGCUUUCUGGAUGAAUAUCUGGACCUCAAUAUUGCCAAGAAACUGAGGCGGCAAUUCUAACUUUUUCUCUACCCUUUAAUGCUUGCAAAAGUUGUUCCCACCACGAAGGCUUGAAGCCACAGUGCAUGGCCAGAACCAGCCAGACCUUUGGAGUUCAAGAACUCGAGAGGUGGGUGAAAACCGCCAUUGCCUCCACAGACUGUCUUCUCCAUGGAAAGAAGACCUGAGUCACCAGGGCUGGGAAACCUGCACCAAUGAGACGAGCACAGCCUCUGCCGGCAUGCAAGUGGCCGCUGUCAGGACACAUGGACUGAAAGUGGUUUGUCAGCUGCUCCAUUAGGUUUUUUUUACCCAUAUGUUUGCUACCUUUCUUUCCUUGAUUUAAAAAUAGGGAGGGGGAGCAGUCUCAGCUGUCUUCAGCUGCUAGGGAGAUUUUUUUCCCCUCCUGAGCUACUGUUUCCCCCAACCUGAGCCUUUCUCUCUUUUUGUACCCACCCUUUCUGAUGAAGUCAUCAAAGCAAAGAUUGCAUAACUGAUGCAUAGGCCUAUCUUGUGUUAUACUGGGAGACAGGCCAAUGUUUCCAUUAAUAGACAAGAGCACCACCACGCUGCCAAAUGGAGCUCUCUGCUGCAACCACUAC